rnacentral:rRNA from 1 species
CGUAAGGCGCCGAAUGAGUCAUUAAAAAAUUAACAUCAUCCGAUCCCUAGUCGGCAUAGUUUAUGGUUAAGACUACGACGGUAUCUGAUCGUCUUCGAUCCCCUAACUUUCGUUCUUGAUUAAUGAAAACAUCCUUGGCAAAAUGCUUUUCGCAGUAGUUAGUCUUCAAUAAAUCCAAGAAUUUCACCUCUGACAAUUGAAUACUAAUGCCCCCAACUAUCCCUAUUAAUCAUUACGUCAAUCCUAAGAAACCAACAAAUAGGAUCGAACGUCCUAUUUCAUUAUUCCAUGCUAAUGUAUUCAAGCGUU